AAUGUGUUCUCCAACUCAUAAAAUAUUUUAGAAAUAAGCUCAGUGCCGUUAUCAUAUAUUACAGUGUCAAAAUUGACAACAAAGUGUAAAUAGGAACAUUUUUGUUUGAAACCUCAGUGCGUGACAACAAAUAAAUGAAGGUUAGGUUUGGAUUAUAAUUAUGUCAACAAAUCAUGCACCCUUUUGCCAAGCUCCACGUGCAUAUUGCCCCUUUGCCCACUUUGCUUCCCGUCAUUGAAUGGGGCUUCAUCGCCCCCAACGCGUUCAAAGGAUCACGGGGCCUAUACGGAUUGACCAUACCUCCACAGCCAAAGUUCUAUGGUUAGCAUGCCCUGCCGAAGGACCCUAGUGUGCGGUCAGAAUAGAUGCUUGGAGUUCGUCUGUCCCCAACUGUCUGCACCAGUAAUGCUAGCUUGGUGUGCAACGACCGGUGGCGGUGAGUAUAACCAGAGAUACUGGAAUAUAAAGGCCUCUCUUGUAUAAUUUAGCUAACAACGUUAGAUAACGUUAUUACUGAUUAUGUAGCUAGGUAGCCAUCUCUUGAUAAAGUGAGGCAGGCUAGCUAUUGUUAGCUAGCGAGGCGGCCUAGCUAAUGUUAGUUAGCGAAGCAGACUAGAUAACGUUAGCGUAGCUAACUAGCUAGCUACCUCUACAAUUUAGUUAGGUUGUAACUCAUACGAGUGUAUUGUCUAGAUAGUGCUGGUUAUGUAACGUUAUCAUUUUUUAAAGCUAGCGUCGUGAGGCAGGCUAGCUAGCUAACGUUAGCCUACAAGUUGGAUUUGCAAGUUAGUUCGUAACUCAUACAAGUGUAUUCUAUAUUGUCUAGGGCAAGACUAAAUAAUGGAUGCAGCUAUAGUGGUAGCUAACCCAUGUCUAACACGCUGACCACACCGCUGGCAUCGCAUGCGCGAUCAUUGCAAAAUAAAUGUACACAUACAUGUUAUUCAAUCAUUGCACCCACACUGGUCGCGAGCGUCUGCGUGGCCAGGCGCUAAAAUAGAACUUAGUUCUAUUUGUGACGCUUGAUGCAGUGCAAGUCCUGCCUCUCCCAUCUCCUCAUUGGUUUUUAGGAGCAUAUACCCACAUCGGUGAUUGAAAGAUGAACUGAGGUUCACACUCCAGUCCAGUUGGUGGUGGUAAUGCACCUUAAAGUUGGUUGCCAACUGCCAAAUAAAGUCCAAAAAAGAAGAAGGAGCCUGAAGGAGGAGAGAUGACUAGAAACAUACUCGGUUUACCCUUUUAUCUGUGGAUUAAAUGUCGGAGUAGAGGACCUUGUGCAUUUCAUGUAAAAGAACAACCCAAUGUUUAUAUCCCAGGACAAAUUAGCUAGCAACAGCAAGCUAGCUAGCUAAAUUGCCAUACAUGUUUAAUGCUUUUUGAACUGUCCUCAAAUUAAUAUAGUUGGUUCAGAGUUUGUUUGUCAAACUGAGUGUCCAGAUCGCGUCUGGUGUGAGUGGACAAACUCAACAUGCACACAAGCAGUCUGGUCAGCAUGUAAGUCUGACUAAUACAGUGAACAAAUAACCAGUACGGCUUCAGCGGCCUGAAUCUCAUCCAAUCUGGAGCUACAGUCUGUAAAGCAUGUAAUUUGGGUUUCCACUAGUUACCACAUCCCCAAAGACAGAAUUGGCUAUAUCGUAAAAAUGUAUGAAAACAAAAAUGAGCUUUUUGGUCUUAAUUUAAGUCUAGGGUUAGGCAUAAUGAUAGCAGGGUGGUUAGGGUUAUAUUUAAAAUCACAUUUUAAGAAGAGAAAUUGUAGAAAUAGGCAGCCUUUAUGACUUUUGCUGUGGUAACUAGUGACUACCUAGAAUUAUCUUGAGUUACUGCCCUGAUGACAGACGGCUUCAUCGACAAUGGUAAAGUGUGUUUUGUGAAACGUUGUCUUGAAUAAGGUUGGUGAAAACAGUUUCGAGUUUUGUCCCAAUUCACCUUGAUAACCUAGCCUGGUGGAACCAGCCUGAUUUAUGUGUUUAUGUGUAUGCGUGUGUAUGCAUAUCAUGAUAUCUGAAGUGAAAUAGAAAGGUGAAUACAGCGAUCAGGUUGGUUCCACCGUGCUAAUCAUAACCACCAGUGAUCAUGUAAUCAGUGCUCUGUUUGUGUAUGACCGACCCGUAUCUUUGAGUGGCCAGGAGCUGAUCUACACUGCCAUACCCAUCAAUUGGGCGGUGGCAAAGGCCUCACCUCCAGCCUCACCUCUUGCCUGUUCACCAACGGUCAUCGAUGGGGAGAACAGAGUUAGAUGCAUCUAUGGAGCAGCACACUGAGACUUGCAAGAUGAUGUGAUGAAGUCCUGACCGACAGAUGGCUUGAUACUGACGUCUCUGAAUGGAGAGAGACCUGGCACUCAACACAUCCACAAUGUGGGACUGAAGAUGGAAAGGACUGUAGAUGCUUUUGCCAGACGCCAGCCUCGUUGUUUGAUGGGGAGACCAUAAUUUUAUCUGACCUGCUCAAACUUCAACAUAGUACCUGUUUGUGUGUCAGAAAUGACCUAUCCAAACUGCCGUUGGUAAUAGAACAGUGACUCUAUGUAUGUGUUCACAGAAACAUGUAUGGAGGCAGCACAUGGAGACUUGCAAGAUGAUGUGAUGAAGUCCAGACUGACAGACUGGCUUGAUACUGAUGUCUCUAAAUGGAGAGGGACCUGGCACUCGAAAUUAAAAUUUUACUAGACACAA